CAGUAGCCACGGUAAUACGUAGGUCCCGAGCGUUGUCCGGAUUUAUUGGGCGUAAAGCGAGCGCAGGCGGUUAGAUAAGUCUGAAGUUAAAGGCUGUGGCUUAACCAUAGUACGCUUUGGAAACUGUUUAACUUGAGUGCAAGAGGGGAGAGUGGAAUUCCAUGUGUAGCGGUGAAAUGCGUAGAUAUAUGGAGGAACACCGGUGGCGAAAGCGGCUCUCUGGCUUGUAACUGACGCUGAGGCUCGAAAGCGUGGGGCGCAAACAGGAUUAGAUACCCCUGUAGUCCCUGUCUCUUAUACC
rnacentral:rRNA from 1 species